CGAUGAAGCCCAGCUUGCUGGGUGGAUUAGUGGCGAACGGGUGAGUAACACGUGAGUAACCUGCCCUUAACUCUGGGAUAAGCCUGGGAAACUGGGUCUAAUACCGGAUAGGAGCGUCCACCGCAUGGUGGGUGUUGGAAAGAUUUAUCGGUUUUGGAUGGACUCGCGGCCUAUCAGCUUGUUGGUGAGGUAAUGGCUCACCAAGGCGACGACGGGUAGCCGGCCUGAGAGGGUGACCGGCCACACUGGGACUGAGACACGGCCCAGACUCCUACGGGAGGCAGCAGUGGGGAAUAUUGCACAAUGGGCGAAAGCCUGAUGCAGCGACGCCGCGUGAGGGAUGACGGCCUUCGGGUUGUAAACCUCUUUCAGUAGGGAAGAAGCGAAAGUGACGGUACCUGCAGAAGAAGCGCCGGCUAACUACGUGCCAGCAGCCGCGGUAAUACGUAGGGCGCAAGCGUUAUCCGGAAUUAUUGGGCGUAAAGAGCUCGUAGGCGGUUUGUCGCGUCUGCCGUGAAAGUCCGGGGCUUAACCCCGGAUCUGCGGUGGGUACGGGCAGACUAGAGUGCAGUAGGGGAGACUGGAAUUCCUGGUGUAGCGGUGAAAUGCGCAGAUAUCAGGAGGAACACCGAUGGCGAAGGCAGGUCUCUGGGCAUUAACUGACGCUGAGGAGCGAAAGCAUGGGGAGCGAACAGGAUUAGAUACCCUGGUAGUCCAUGCCGUAAACGUUGGGCACUAGGUGUGGGGGACAUUCCACGUUUUCCGCGCCGUAGCUAACGCAUUAAGUGCCCCGCCUGGGGAGUACGGCCGCAAGGCUAAAACUCAAAGGAAUUGACGGGGGCCCGCACAAGCGGCGGAGCAUGCGGAUUAAUUCGAUGCAACGCGAAGAACCUUACCAAGGCUUGACAUGUUCCCGAUCGCCGUAGAGAUACGAUUUCCCCUUUGGGGCGGGUUCACAGGUGGUGCAUGGUUGUCGUCAGCUCGUGUCGUGAGAUGUUGGGUUAAGUCCCGCAACGAGCGCAACCCUCGUUCUAUGUUGCCAGCGCGUGAUGGCGGGGACUCAUAGGAGACUGCCGGGGUCAACUCCGAAGGAAGGUGGGGACGACGUCAAAUCAUCAUGCCCCUUAUGUCUUGGGCUUCACGCAUGCUACAAUGGCCGGUACAAAGGGUUGCGAUACUGUGGAGGUGGAACUAAUCCCAAAAAGCCGGGCUCAGUUCGGAUUGGGGGCUGGAACUCG
rnacentral:rRNA from 1 species